GACAGCCGUCGGUCGGUGUCAACUCGGGGACUUCACAGCUCCACGCUCGGCCUGAUUGGUUUUCUAUCCGUGGCCCUGUGACAGAGCGUUGGAUUUACCGAGCUGGAGGCUGCGACCUGCUGAUGGAGGAGCUUUCAGGCCGCUCUGCUCUGAAGACGCACAGACCUGCCGGCCAACGCACACCGCCUGGCUCCGGGGAAUCCACGCCCGCGACCUCUGACCUCACACCGCAGCGCUCCGCCCACCCUCCACCCAGCAUCACCUAAUCCACCCGAUCUAUAUACUCCUUCACCGCAGGCCAAUCACGAAGACAUCUAACAUCACGAGCGCAGGCAGCCAGAAGAGGAGAACGAAGGGGUGGAUGAAGAAGAGGAGAACGUGGAAGAAGAGGGAGAGGGAAAGUGGAAGAGGAGGAGAAGGGAGAAGAGGAGGAAUAGGGGGGGAAAAGGUGAUGGAAGAUUGGAAGAAAAGUAGAAAGAGAGGAGGAGGAGGGUAAGAGGGGGGUGUGGUGGAAGAAGCAGGGAUGAGGUUGGGGAAUAAAAAGAGGAGGAGGUGACAGGGGAGGAGGAUGAAGAGGAGGUUUGUUCAAGGUGAGGUGGCUCAUCAAUCAGUGUGGGAGCAGAGACUGAUAGUGUUGCCUUAUUGAUCUCAGUGCAGAGAUCUGUAUCACUUACCGAUGUCAACAUCCUGACUCACAAGAGGAAGAACUGUAGAGACGAGUUCAACGUCAACAGAACAUUUAAGUGAAGAAGAGGAUUUUCAACCCUUUGUUGUUUAGUCUGGUUGAAUAGGUUGGUGUUCCUCCUGAGUACGAUUCGUUUCGGCAGAUCAGUGAUCGUGCUCAAACCAAAACAACUGCACAGAGACUCUUUAGAGGACGUGGUCUUGGUCCUGUCACAAAUUGAUUCUGUAGCGGUUUGUUUGUUUGUGAUGGGAACGUGAUCCGACCUGGAUCUGACUGACUACAAGGCUGCAAGUUUAAGCUAGAGAGCGAGAUUUUGGUUUGCUUUUAUCUUUUUCUAUGUUAACUUUUUCUAUGAACUGAUUCAGGCCAAAGCAAACAACUCAGUGCUUACGGUGCGGUAAACAUUCCUGAGCUACUGAAAGCUAAAACUAGCAGCUGAGACACGCAGGUAAACCAGUGGACUUUCAUGAUGUGGUUCGGUUAUUUAUUAAAGGUGUCACAGCAGUUUGCAGUUGGUCAAAGGCGCAAAAAAGUUGCAUGUCAAUUUCACAAUUUAUUUAUCCUCUGCGAGUAAAUCUGACUGGCUCUGCUUGUUGCAAACAAACUACAAUCUGCUAAACGACAAAAAUCUGUAUUUGACGCAGGUCCAAACAAACAAUGACACACGACUGUGACAGUUGCGUUAGCAUAUUAGAAACUUAACACUGCUUUAAAGGCUAAGUCUGCUGAUAUUCUAUGUUCUUCUUAUUGUCAACUUAUUGUCUUAUUGUGUAUAAAGUGUGAUAUAUCUGACUCCUCUGUAGACCUCCGUUAAUGUCCAAAAACUAU